AAGGCCCGGUCCUCCAGACCAAACAAGCCGAAACAAUGAGAGACCUUUCGUCUCCUUCUCGGUCCGAUUCCAACACCGAAGAUGGUCUCCGGCGACGGGCUUUCGAGACCGGUAAGUGUCCCUUUUCUUUCUUUUUCGUUUUGUUUUUUUAGUUUCAAAGAGUAGUAAAAAAACAGAAAAUAGAAGAAUAUAUAAAAAAAAUUAUUAAGAACAGAGAAAGAAAUUUGGAGUCAACCUUUUCAAUUUUUUUGAUCUGCUCCCUUUUUUUUUGAAUACAGAUUUUGGUGGCUUUUAUAGCCAAAAGAUAAUCCUAAAAAUCUAUUUCCUAUUUUAUUUUUAUCAUUUCUGUCCAAUAUUGCUACUGCUGCUGCUGUUGUUCCCCUUUCUUUGCUUUGCUUGCAGGUACUGGUGAAGUCAACGGGUAUUGGAAGAAUAAACCUAGCCUUUUUUGUGCAAAACUGGUCGUGCUUCGGGCGUUGAGUGCACUGCAAAUGCACGAGGAGACGUACGGCGCACUGAGGCUGCUGGUUGUGAGCUGAAUUGGGCUAGGGUUUUGCCAUCUUGGGCCUCUAUUGUGUUUUUAUUUGGGCUACGGAUUUUGUUUUAAUUUUGUUUAUUAUUGUGUGUUUUGUGUUUAAGGUCAGGGUAGAAUUGGGCCCGUACAAAGUGGAUUAAGAUCUCUGCUCUAGCAUUGUUUUUAAUUUGUUUUAUUAUUAUUAAGUUAGGCUUGGAGAACUUUUAGGUGAAACCCUAAUUUUUUUAAAAAUAGGCAUAAAGUCUCUCUUUGUAAUCUUGAAUCUUUUUGAAUUUGUAUAAUCCAACAAUUUUAAAGAUGAGAUAAUAUUGAUU
rnacentral:lncRNA from 1 species